AACGAACGCUGGCGGCAGGCCUAACACAUGCAAGUCGAACGCUCGUCUUCGGACGGGAGUGGCGCACGGGUGAGUAACACGUGGGAACCUACCUUCUGGUACGGAACAACCGAGGGAAACUUCGGCUAAUACCGUAUACGACCUCCGGGUGAAAGAUUGAUCGCCGGAAGAGGGGCCCGCGUCCGAUUAGGUAGUUGGUGGGGUAACGGCCUACCAAGCCGACGAUCGGUAGCUGGUCUGAGAGGAUGACCAGCCACACUGGGACUGAGACACGGCCCCAGACUCCUACGGGAGGCAGCAGUGGGGAAUAUUGGACAAUGGCGCAAGCCUGAUCCAGCCAUGCCGCGUGAGUGAUGAAGGCCUUCGGGUUGUAAAGCUCUUUCACCCACGACGAUGAUGACGGUAGUGGGAGAAGAAGCCCCGGCUAACUUCGUGCCAGCAGCCGCGGUAAUACGAAGG
rnacentral:rRNA from 1 species